rnacentral:rRNA from 1 species
CCCUUAGAUGCUCUGGGCCGCACGCGCGCUACACUGGUCGAUGCAACGAGUUUCUUUCCUUGGCCGACAGGCCUGGGCAAUCUUUGAACAUCGAUCGUGAUCGGGAUAGAUUCUUGUAAUUUUUGAUCUUAAACGAGGAAUUCCUAGUAAACGCAAGUCAUCAGCUUGCAUUGAUUACGUCCCUGCCCUUUGUACACACCGCCCGUCGCACCUACCGAUUGAAUGGUCCGGUGAAACCUCCGGAUUGGCGCGUGCCCUCGGGCGCCGCCGAGAAGUUGGUUAAACCUUACCAUUUAGAGGAAGGUGAAGUCGUAACA